GAUGAACGCUAGCGGGAGGCCUAACACAUGCAAGCCGAGCGGUAUUGUUUCUUCGGAAAUGAGAGAGCGGCGUACGGGUGCGUAACACGUGUGCAACCUGCCUUUAUCUGGGGGAUAGCCUUUCGAAAGGAAGAUUAAUACUCCAUAAUAUAUUGAAAGGCAUCGUUUAAUAUUUAAAGCUACGGCGGAUAGAGAUGGGCACGCGCAAGAUUAGCUAGUUGGUGAGGUAACGGCUCACCAAGGCGAUGAUCUUUAGGGGGCCUGAGAGGGUGAUCCCCCACACUGGUACUGAGACACGGACCAGACUCCUACGGGAGGCAGCAGUGAGGAAUAUUGGUCAAUGGGUGCAAGCCUGAACCAGCCAUCCCGCGUGAAGGACGACUGCCCUAUGGGUUGUAAACUUCUUUUGUAUAGGGAUAAACCUACCCUCGUGAGGGUAGCUGAAGGUACUAUACGAAUAAGCACCGGCUAACUCCGUGCCAGCCGCCGCCGUAA
rnacentral:rRNA from 1 species